rnacentral:rRNA from 1 species
AGAGUUUGAUCCUGGUUCAGAACGAACGCUGGCGGCGUGCUUAAUAUAUGCAAGUUGAACGAGAAUGGUUUUUUUUGGAGAACCUAUUAAAGUGGUGCAUGGGUGAGUAACAUGUAGAUAAUCUACCUAUGGUGUCUGGGAUAACUGACCGAAAGGUUAGCUAAUACCUGAUACGUUCACGAUUUCGUAAGAUAACGUGAAGAAAGAUGGCCUCUUUUUGAAAGCUAUCGCACCUAGAUGAGUUUGCGUACCAUUAGCUAGUUGGUGGGGUAAGAGCCUACCAAGGCUAUGAUGGUUAGUGGGUCUGAGAGGAUGAUCCGCCAUAUUGGAAUUGGAAUAUGGACCAGAUUUUUAUGGGAGGUAGUAGUGAGGAAUUUUGCGCAAUGGGGGAAACCCUGAUGUAGCGACGCCGCGUGGACGAUGAAGGCCUUAGGGUUGUAAAGUCCUGUCAGUAGGGAAGAAAUGUAUAAUGGCUAAUACCCAUUAUAUUUGACGGUACCUACAAAGGAAGCACCGGUUAACUCCGUGUAAGUAGUUGUGGUAAUACGGAGGGUGCAAGCGUUGUUCGGAAUUACUGGGCGUAAAGGGCGCGUAGGCGGCCUGAUAAGUCAGAUGUGAAAGUCCACGGUUUGACCGUGGAAGUGCAUCUGAAACUAUCAAGCUUGAGUAUGGGAGAGGAAAGUGGAAUUCCCGGUGUAGAGGUGAAAUUUGUAGAUAUCGGGAGGAAUAUUAGUGGUGAAGGUGACUUUCUGGACCAAUACUGACGCUGAGGCGCGAAAGCGUGGGGAGUAAAUAGGAUUAGAUAUCCUGGUAGUCCACAGCUGUAAACGAUGUCAACUAGGUGUUGGGGGUGUUGAUUCCUCCAGCGCCGUAGUUAAUGUAUUAAGUUGACCGCCUGGGGAGUAUGGUUGUAAGAUUAAAACUCAAAGGAAUUGACGGGGGCCCGCACAAGCGGUGGAGUAUGUGGUUUAAUUUGAUGCAAUGUGCAGAAUUUUACCUGGUCUUGAUAUCCCGAGAAUAUCUAAGAAAUUAGAAGGUGCUUCCUUUUGGAAGAACUCGGUGAUAGGUGCUGUAUGGCUGUCGUCAGUAUGUGUUGUGAGAUGUUGGGUUAAGUCCCGUAAUGAGUGCAACCCACGUCUUUAGUUGCCAUUAUUAAGUUGGGCAUUCUAGAGAGACUGCCGGUGUUAAACCGGAGGAAGGUGUGGAUGACGUCAAGUCCUUAUGGCCUUUAUGACCAGGGUUAUACACGUACUACAAUGGCAUGUAUAAAGGGUAGUUAAUUUGUGAGAGUAUGUUAAUUCCAUAAAGCAUGUCUCAGUUUGGAUUGGAGUCUGUAAUUUGACUCCAUGAAGCUGGAAUCGCUAGUAAUCGUGGAUAGUAUGCCACGGUGAAUAUGUUUUCGGGCCUUGUAUAUAUUGCCCGUCACACCACGAAAGUCGGUUGUACCAGAAGUA